CGCCGCGGGACGACGAUGGCAGGAAGGCAAGGGCGAGCAGUAGAAUUUUAUCGGUGGUUCGAGUCCGGCUCAGAAGACUACUCCAUGACCUCAAAAUGGGAACAAUAACAAGGACAGAUUAUAAGAAUACGUUCCUUGCAUACGCCCAAGGAGAAUAAAUAGGAAAAGAUUGCUUACAUGAAUCCAGUAAGAGUAUUAAGAACCACCCUGAAUGAGGUCCAUUCGUGUCCCUGCUCUCAGAUCUUCCAAGCAUACACCCCAUAAUGAGGUCAGAAGACCAGUCAUGGCAUAACUGAAUUCACAGAAAUCAAGAUGUUGGCCAGGCCUGUAAUCUCAUCUGGAGCUCAGGGUCCUCUUCCAACCUUAUUCAGGUUGUUAGCAGCAUUUAUUUCCUUGCAGUUGUAGAAGUGACUCCCCGUUUUUUCUUUCUAGCUAUCAGUUGAGGCCCAUGCUCAGUUUCAAGAGUGCCCAGAUCCUUGCCACAUGGUCCUCUCCAAUAGACCCUCCAAUAUCAUAGCUUAUGUCUUCAAGCCAGCAGGAGACACCUCACCCUCUUUUUUUUUUUUUCUUAUAUAUAUAUAUAUAUUUUUUUUUUAUUAAAUUCCGU